CCUCCUCCCACCAUGCAGUUUACAUUUAUUUACAGAUAAGACUGGAGUCAUUCUGCACAUACUAGCCUAUUCUCAGCCUCUGCUUUUACUUCUCAGCUCCUGCCCAGAGCACAGUGUCCCUGUCCAUCAUACCCUGAAAAUGCCAAUCAGCAAUUUCGGUUUCAGGUUUGUCCCAGUUUUUGCUCCACAUCACUUGGAGUGUCCCUCAACUUCGGAGUACAUCAGAGUGCCUUAUUCAUUCAGGGUUAAAUGCCCAGCACUUAGCAUCGUACACUGUAUAGAGAUACACAGAUUGAAGAAAGUGUGAGUGAAUCUUUUAGCCUAACUGAAAAUAGGACUUGGGACGUGGCAUUCCAGAAUACUCGUUUAGGAUGGUGCUGGGUCUGGAGAAAUGACUCAGCACUUAAGAGCUCUGCUUGCUCUACCCAGAGCCUAGUGUCAGUUCCAAGUAUUCACAUGACAGCUCACAACAAUCUGUAACUCCAGUUAGAGAGUAUGAUGCCUACACCUGGCCUCCAUAGGACUGUAUGCACCUGCCUACACCUGGCCUCCAUAGGACUGUAUGCACCUGCCUACAUCUGGCCUCCAUAGGACGGUAUGCACCUGCCUACACCUGGCCUCCAUAGGAUGGUAUGUACCUGCUACACAGACACAUGCAUAGUUUUUUAAAGAUAAUUUUAUUUUUCCAUGUUAAAGAUGAAAAUCCACAUAUCCGAAAUGGUUCGUCUUAUACCAGGAUAAAUAGUAACAUCAAGCAAUAGCAUAGCCAAUCCUCAAGAAUUAUACUGAGUUCAGACUGUAACUCAGUAGCUGAGCCUUUGCCUAGCAUAUAUGAGGUCUAGGUUUAUUUUGCUGUACCACCCAAAAGUUGUACUGAUAAAUAAACAGUAUACUGUAAUGUAAAUUUAAAAUGGAAAAAUAUAUUUACUAGUUUCAGGCAUUAUAGUACAGAAAGAAACUACACAAAACUGGAUAGAAACAGUUUAAUAAAUACUUAACCUACA
rnacentral:lncRNA from 1 species